CUGACUCGCAGGUUGUACCUAAUAGACCUACUUAAAUCUUUUGUUUUAUUCUUUCUGUUGCAUAGAAGUAUAAGUUUAUUACUCUGUUUUAUUGCAAGUUAUUUCACAUGGGAUCUGUGUGCCUGAUAUGAUUGUUGCUUUAAUACCAUAAGCCCACUACACUUUCUAUGAGAGUGGGAUAGUGUAAAUGUGUUACAUUGUUUGCAUGAUGAGCUCAGUAUUUUUAUAACUGAGACAAAAAGUCACAUCAUUAGUAUUUGAAAGUUAAUUCCCCAUAUGGGAUUAAUUGUAUAGAAACACCAAUCAGCACAUCUUCCAUGCCCUGUGUGUUUGUUGCAAAGGAUCCAUACUGUAAAUAUGAUUUUUGUUUGUUAAUAAGAGAGCAACAUUUACAUUUUCAGCGGUCCAACACAUGCUUCAUUUUGCGCUGUAAACUAACCUUUUAUUGCAACAGAUUCCUUUUAAAUGAUCCAGUGUAAUAACUACUGCAUAUGUUUUGUGUCUUCUAUGUCUCACAUUAUAUGUGUUCUGUUCUUUUAAAUUGUGGUAUAUAGCCUGGAUCAGAGAUUAUGGACAAAGGUUUCUACCUGUUUUACUAAGGCUCUUGGAGACUGACCGGUCUAAGGUUUGCCAUGCCUUUUAAACAUGGUAUAGAAUAAUUUUUUUUAAGUCUCUGAGAGUUCUGUAAGAUUCUGGUGAAACCAUGUCUGUGUAAUCUGGUCCAAAUGUUUGCUCAAUUUCUAUAAGAUUUAAGUUGAUGCAGUAUCAUCUCAGAUUAGUUAAUGGAAGUUUCAUACAAAUAUUUGAGUUAUGAGCGCGCUAUAUAAAUGGAUCCUUUCUCUAUAUACAAUACUAUAGUAGAUUAAAGUAAUGAAG